rnacentral:rRNA from 1 species
ACGGGAGGUAGCAGUGGGGAAUAUUGCACAAUGGGGGAAACCCUGAUGCAGCAACGCCGCGUGAGUGAUGACGGUCUUCGGAUUGUAAAGCUCUGUCUUCAGGGACGAUAAUGACGGUACCUGAGGAGGAAGCCACGGCUAACUACGUGCCAGCAGCCGCGGUAAUACGUAGGUGGCAAGCGUUGUCCGGAUUUACUGGGCGUAAAGGGAGCGUAGGCGGAUUUUUAAGUGGGAUGUGAAAUACCCGGGCUCAACCUGGGUGCUGCAUUCCAAACUGGAGAUCUAGAGUGCAGGAGGGGAAAGUGGAAUUCCUAGUGUAGCGGUGAAAUGCGUAGAGAUUAGGAAGAACACCAGUGGCGAAGGCGACUUUCUGGACUGUAACUGACGCUGAGGCUCGAAAGCGUGGGGAGCGAACAGGAUUAGAUACCCUGGUA